GGGCUUGUGUUGCAGUGGUAGCAUUCUAGACUUCGAAUCUAGCGGUCGCGGGUUCAAAUCCCGUCGAGCCUU